rnacentral:lncRNA from 1 species
CAAGUUCUGGGGCCACCGUGAGGGAUAACCUCCUACUCCAGGGUGGCGCACAUCCACUGGGGGCCAAAUCCAUGACAGCUCUCACCGCCCACGAAGAAGUUUCUGCACCUUGAGUGGAAACUUCCCCACUGAAGGUCAGCUCGAGGUUCAGACCUGUGGGUCUGUGGUCCAGCUGUUAUGCCCUGAGCAGUCCAGAGUCAAGUGGUCUUGAAGACAAAAGAGAAG